rnacentral:tRNA from 1 species
GGGCUAGUAGCUCAGCUUGGUAGAGCGUCGCCUCGGCAUGGCGAAGGCCUCGGGUUCAAUUCCCGACUAGUCCA